AGCUAGUUGGUAGGAUAAGAGCCUACCAAGGCGACGAUGGAUAGCCGGCCUGAGAGGGUGAUCGGCCACACUGGGACUGAGACACGGCCCAGACUCCUACGGGAGGCAGCAGCUAAGAAUCUUCCGCAAUGGGCGAAAGCCUGACGGAGCGACGCCGCGUGGACGAAGAAGGCCGAAAGGUUGUAAAGUCCUUUUCUUAGGGAAGAAUAAUGUAAAGAAUGGGAUGCUUUACAGGACAUUAACUGAGGAAUAAGCCCCGGCCAAUUACGUGCCAGCAGCCGCGGUAAUACGUAUGGGGCGAGCGUUGUUCGGAAUUAUUGGGCGUAAAGGGCGUGUAGGCGGUUUUAUAAGCCUGGUGUGAAAUCCCACAGCUCAACUGUGGAGACGCGCUGGGAACUGUAAGACUAGAGUUCAGGAGGGGAUGCUGGAAUUCCUGGUGUAGGGGUGAAAUCUGUAGAUAUCAGGAAGAACACCGAUGGCGAAGGCAAGCAUCUGGCCAUGGACUGACGCUGAGGCGCGAAAGCGUGGGGAGCGAACAGGAUUAGAUACCCUGGUAGUCCACGCUGUAAACGAUGUGCACUGGGUGUAGGAGGCGUUGAGCUUUCUGUGCCGUAGCUAACGCGUUAAGUGCACCGCCUGGGGAGUAUGCUCGCAAGGGUGAAACUCAAAGGAAUUGACGGGGGCCCGCACAAGCGGUGGAGCAUGUGGUUUAAUUCGACGAUACGCGAGGAACCUUACCAGGGCUUGACAUGUACUUGAAGGCUUAAGAGAUUAAGUCGACCUUUAGGGGACGGGUACACAGGUGCUGCAUGGUUGUCGUCAGCUCGUGUCGUGAGAUGUUGGGUUAAGUCCCGCAACGAGCGCAACCCUUACUGUCUGUUGCCAGCAGGCCUUCGGGCGCUGGGGACUCAGGCAGAACUGCCGGUGACAAACCGGAGGAAGGUGGGGAUGACGUCAAAUCAUCAUGGCCCUUAUGUCCUGGGCUACACACGUGCUACAAUGGCCGGUACAAAGCGUUGCAAGACGGUGACGUCCUUAGCAAAUCGCAAAAAGCCGGUCUCAGUUCGGAUUGGAGUCUGAAACCCGACUCCAUGAAGUUGGAAUCGCUAGUAAUCGCGCAUCAGAAUGGCGCGGUGAAUAUGUUCCCGGGCCUUGUACACACCGCCCGUCACACCACCCGAGUUGGGGGUACCCGAAGUCGCUAGUCUAACUUUUAGAGGACGGUGCCGAAGGUAUGCCUGGUAAGGGGGGUGAAGUCGUAACAAGGUAGCCGUACCGGGUGCGGCUG
rnacentral:rRNA from 1 species